UCUGGUUGAUCCUGCCAGAGGUUACUGCUAUCGAGGUUCGACUAAGCCAUGCGAGUCGAAUGUAGCAAUACAUGGCGAACUGCUCAGUAACACGUGGACAACCUGCCCUUAGGACGGGGAUAAACCCGGGAAACUGGGUAUAAUACCCGAUAGGUCUCGAUUGCUGGAAUGCAUCGAGAUUUAAAGCUCCGGCGCCUAAGGAUGGGUCUGCGGCCUAUCAGGUAGUAGUGGGUGUAGCGUACCUACUAGCCUACGACGGGUACGGGUUGUGAGAGCAAGAGCCCGGAGAUGGAUUCUGAGACACGAAUCCAGGCCCUACGGGGUGCAGCAGGCGCGAAAACUUUACAAUGCUGGCAACAGCGAUAAGGGAACCUCGAGUGCCAGGUUACAAAUCUGGCUGUCGAGAUGCCUAAAAAGCAUUUCAUAGCAAGGGCCGGGCAAGACCGGUGCCAGCCGCCGCGGUAACACCGGCGGCUCGAGUGGUAACCGUUAUUAUUGGGUCUAAAGGGUCUGUAGCCGGCCGGAUAAGUCUCUUGAGAAAUCUGGCAGCUUAACUGUCAGGCUUUCAGGAGAUACUGUCUGGCUCGAGGCCGGGAGAGGUGAGAGGUACUUCAGGGGUAGGGGUGAAAUCUUGUAAUCCUUGAAGGACCACCAGUGGCGAAGGCGUCUCACCAGAACGGACCUGACGGCAAGGGACGAAAGCUAGGGGCACGAACCGGAUUAGAUACCCGGGUAGUCCUAGCCGUAAACGAUACUCGCUAGGUGUCGGCCACGGUGCGACCGUUGUCGGUGCCGUAGGGAAGCCGUGAAGCGAGCCACCUGGGAAGUACGGCCGCAAGGCUGAACUUAAAGGAAUUGGCGGGGGAGCACCACAACGGGUGGAGCUUGCGGUUUAAUUGGAUUCAACGCCCGGA
rnacentral:rRNA from 1 species